UGGGGAAUUUUGGGCAAUGGGGGAAACCCUGACCCAGCAACGCCGCGUGAAGGAUGAAGUAUUUCGGUAUGUAAACUUCGAAAGAAUAGGAAGAAUAAAUGACGGUACUAUUUAUAAGGUCCGGCUAACUACGUGCCAGCAGCCGCGGUAAUACGAAGGUGGCUAGCGUUGUUCGGAAUCACUGGGCGUAAAGCGCACGUAGGCGGAUCUUUAAGUCAGGGGUGAAAUCCCGAGGCUCAACCUCGGAACUGCCUUUGAUACUGGAGGUCUCGAGUCCGGGAGAGGUGAGUGGAACUGCGAGUGUAGAGGUGAAAUUCGUAGAUAUUCGCAAGAACACCAGUGGCGAAGGCGGCUCACUGGCCCGGUACUGACGCUGAGGUGCGAAAGCGUGGGGAGCAAACAGGAUUAGAUACCCCUGUAGUCCCUGAGCGGGCUGGCAAGGCGCAU
rnacentral:rRNA from 1 species